rfam:Picea glauca, whole genome shotgun sequence.
CAUUUGCGAAGGAUUAAAUGUCCUUAAUUCCCUAAUG